UACGUAGGGGCCAAGCGUUGUCCGGAUUUAUUGGGCGUAAAGAGCUCGUAGGCGGUUGGGUAAGUCGGGUGUGAAAACUCCAGGCUCAACUUGGAGAUGCCACCCGAUACUGCUCUGACUUGAGUUCGGUAGGGGAGUGGGGAAUUCCUGGUGUAGCGGUGAAAUACGCAGAUAUCAGGAGGAACACCGGUGGCGAAGGCGCCACUCUGGGCCGAAACUGACGCUGAGGAGCGAAAGCGUGGGUAGCAAACAGG
rnacentral:rRNA from 1 species